rnacentral:lncRNA from 1 species
CUUAAACAAUGUCUACACUGUAUUUCUGAUCAAUUUGAUGUUAUUUUAAUGGACAAAAUGUUUUUCCUUUUCUUUCAAAAACAAGGACAUUUCUAAGUGUCCCCAAACUGUUGAACAGUAGUGUAACUAAACCAAAAUGGAACAUGCAGAAAAUACAUUUCUGAAGCAACAAAAUGAUACCUUGUUCACCCCCCCUCAAUAACCCAUAACGAAAAAGCCAAAACUGGUUUAGACAUUAAUUUAUUCAAAAUAAAAAACAGAAAUAACACAAUUACAUUAAGUAUUCAGACCCUUUUCUCAGUACUUUAUUGAAGCACCUUUGGCAGUGAUUACAGCCUCGAGUCUUCUUGGGUAUGACGCUACAAGCUUGGCACAUCUGUAUUUGGGGAGUUUCUCCCAUUCUUCGCUGCAGGUCCUUUCAAGCUCUGUCAGGUUGGAUGGGGAGUGUCGCUGCACAGCUAUUUUCAGGUCUCUCCAGAGAUGUUAGAUCGGAUUCAAGUCCGGGCUCUGACUGGGCCACUCAAGGACAUUCAGAGACUUGUCCGAAGGCCACUCCUGUGUUGUCUUGGUUGUGUGCUUAGGGUCGUUGUCCUGUUGGAAGGUGAACCUUCACCCCAGUCUGCGGUUCUGAGCGCUCUGGAACAGCUAGUACAGCCCCUAGUACCUUAGGUAGUACAGUAUAGCCUCAGCUAGUCCAGCCCCUAGUCCAGCAGGUAGUACAGUAUAGCCUCAGCUAGUCCAGCAGGUAGUCCAGUAUAGCCUCAGCUAGUCCAGCAGGUAGUCCAGCAGGUAGUACAGUAUAGCCUCAGCUAGUCCAGCAGGUAGUACUGUAUAGCCUCAGCUAGUCAGCCCCUAGUCCAGUAUAGCCUCAGCUAGUCAGCCCCUAGUCCAGCAGGUAGUUGGUUUUGAGAGAGAGCCUUGACAGAAUGAUAACCACGCCACAGAACUGUAUACAUUUAUCAAUGAUACAUGUUCCAACUCGGGUCCCUUGACACAGAGGCAAGUACGCUAACCCCAAGAUAGACAACUCUAGAGCUUCUCCCUAACCCUUAACCCUAACCGCUUAACCCUAACCCCAAGAUAGACAACUCUAGAGCUUCUCCCUAACCCUUAACCCUAACCCCAAGAUAGACAACUCUAGAGCUAACCCUAAACCUUAACCCUAACCCCAAGAUAGACAACUCUAGAGCUUCUCCCUAACCCUAACCCUUAACCCUAACCCUUAACCCUAACCCCAAGAUAGACAACUCUAGAGCUACUCCCUAACCCUUAACCCCUAACCCCUAACCCUUAACCCUAACCCCAAGAUAGACAACUCUAGAGCUAACCCUAACCCUUAACCCUAACCCCUAACCCUAACCCCUAACCCCAAGAUAGACAACUCUAGAGCUAACCCUAACCCUUAACCCCCCUAACCCCUAACCCUAACCCCUAACCCCAAGAUAGACAACUCUAGAGCUUCUGAAAGGUUGUUCUAGUGUGGAUAUGAAUGGAGGCUAUGGUCAUAACAGAGAACAGAAAAACAUGGAUGUCUGAGAGUAGUUGUUCUGCUGGUCAGGGAAGGCAAUAGAUUGUAUAGUUAUCUUCUGAUCAGGGUAAAAUCACUACCCCACAACAAUACAAUCUACUACCUCACAACGCCUCAGCAGAUAGACAAUGACUUCAUAAUGUUGACGAUGUACCUUGAUGAUUUCUUCCUGUUCGUUCUCAAAACACCACAGCAAAUACGAUCAGAAUAGAAUCUUUUACAAUGACCAUAAGAGGAGAUUGACUGUAGUAUCCUUGGUGAUUGACACAUUGAGAAAGACAGUAGGUUGUACAGUUAUCUCCCAGUGUGGGUGUGACCCUAAAACUAUCCAACCUACUACCUCAUCCCACUGAGCUGAGGAACCUGGAGAGGAACCUGGAGAGGAACCUGGAGAGGAACCUGGAGAGGAACCUGGUCUGAUCCACCUCACAGCAUCUGUUGAGAGAGAGACUGGAUAGUAAUACUGCCACUUUUAGGAUCA